AUCGCCUUCGCGCAAGCAAGGGUGAAAAACAAUGCGGCAAGAAAGGAACAGAGACCGAGCUGCAGGGAGACAGCAGAGAAGGAUUCCGGACCGCGGGUUCGGGGCAGAGAGGACCUGCUCUUAGGGCAGCGACAGUUCCUAAGGGAAGGCGCUUCUCAGAGUUACCCAUCUCACCUGCCCACUAUCUCAGGACCGGCUAACAACAGCAAGAAUUCUUAGCAUUUUGCCAACUAACCGCAGUACUAUUUCUCAGGCUAUGGAUGA